rnacentral:ncRNA from 1 species
UUAACUUUGCCACCGGGUAAAGUAUUAUUAGGUGUUCUGAAACAUUCCGUUAGGUCAUGGAAGGGAUGUUUUAGGACACUAUUUUUAA